rnacentral:ribozyme from 1 species
UUCUCUUCUCCCAUCUUCUUCUUCUUCUUCUUCUUCUCUCUCUUUCCCGGAAAUUAUGGAGAAGAUAAGGAUGGAAAGAAGAUUAAAAGAAGUCAAAGA